rnacentral:rRNA from 1 species
CACGCUGUAAACGAUGGAUACUAGGUGUGGGAGGUAUCGACCCCUUCCGUGCCGCAGUAAACGCAAUAAGUAUCCCGCCUGGGGAGUACGGCCGCAAGGUUGAAACUCAAAGGAAUUGACGGGGGCCCGCACAAGCAGCGGAGCAUGUGGUUUAAUUCGAAGCAACGCGAAGAACCUUACCAGAACUUGACAUCGUCUGCAUUACCCGUAACUGGGGAAAUCCUUCGGGACAGAUAGACAGGUGG